GUGGAUAGUUUUCAUACAAUCCACUUGAGAAGUAUGACGAAAGACUUUCAGCGACAAGAAUUUUGUGGGUAUCUUGCGCUUCGUCCGUUUACUUACUACAAACAAUGAGUACUAUGUACGCCAGUCAUUUUCUCACUUUCGAGAGA
rnacentral:sRNA from 1 species